UACGGAGGGUGCAAGCGUUAUCCGGAUUCACUGGGUUUAAAGGGUGCGUAGGUGGGUUGGUAAGUCAGUGGUGAAAUCUCCGUGCUUAACAUGGAAACUGCCAUUGAUACUACCAGUCUUGAAUUUUCCGGAGGUCAGCGGAAUAUGUCAUGUAGCGGUGAAAUGCUUAGAUAUGACAUAGAACACCAAUUGCGAAGGCAGCUGACUACAGGAACAUUGACACUGAGGCACGAAAGCGUGGGGAUCAAACAGG
rnacentral:rRNA from 1 species